UUGGUUAAGUCAGGCAACGAGCGAGAUCCGCACCUUUAUUUGCCAACAAGAAGUCACGACUUCGUUGGGAACACUAAAGGGACCGCCGUCGAUAAGACGGAGGAAGGAGCGGGCAAAGGCAGGUCAGUAUGCCCCGAAACCCCUGGGCUACACGCGGGCUGCAAUGGUAUGAACAAUGGGCUGUGACUCCGAAAGGAGAAACCAAUCCCGAAAUCAUAUCUCAGUUGGAAUUGUCGGCUGUAACCCGCCGACAUGAACGUGGAAUCCCUAGUAAUCGUGUGUCAUCAUCGCACGGUGAAUACGUCCCUGCUCCUUGCACA
rnacentral:rRNA from 1 species